AGCCAGCCUCUUCUGCUCAGAGCUUACCUCCACCGUGAAGCAGUCUCUUCACCUGGAAGUCCAGUUGCCUUCAUUUCUGGAGGCAUUGUGGCUUUACAGACUCAAACAAACAGCAAGCAGCAGGCAGGUGUUCUGUGUUAGGUCCUAGGGAUGGUGCUGAGUAAAGUGGGUGCAGUUCACGUAUCCUUUAGCUGGAGCCAGGGCCCCUGCUGACUCUGCACACCGCCCACUGGGCACUUGCAAGUCUGUUGCACUGACGUGUCUUGUUAGUAAAUUCCUGAAGUCAUAGACCAUAUCUGAAGCAUGUAGGAUUCACUAUGGCAGUGAGUCCCAGAAAGUGAAGGAACUGGGCCUAGAGGAAGGCAGUGGUGCAUCUCUAGGCUCAGGACUCUGCUCUAAGGAGUCCGCCAGGCUCCAGGCUCCUUCCUGUCACCACCAUGCUCUU
rnacentral:lncRNA from 1 species